GGGCAAGUCACUCUUAAAACCCCGAUGUCUGGGGCUGGCCCCGUGGCGCAUCGGUUAAGUGCACACGUUUCACUUCAGCAGCCCUGGGUUCGCUGGUUAGGAUCCCGAGUGCGGACAUGGCACUGCUUGGCAAGCCAUGCUGUGGUAGGUGUCCCACAUAUGAAGUAGAGGAAGAUGGGCACGGAUGUUAGCUCAGGGCCAGUCUUCCUCAGCAAAAAGGGGAGGAUUGGCAGUAGUUAGCUCAGGGCUAAUCUCCCUCAAAAAUAAAAGAACAAACCCCGAUUUCUUUUGUAAAAUGAGGAUAGUAAAAUUUACCUCUCAGUAUUGUUUUGAUGACUAAGGUUGACAAUGGACCCAUUGUUGGGGUAUACUUGUAGUUUUUAUUGAUUCUCAGCUUCCAGCCUCUGCCUCUGAAAAAUGAGUCAGCUGGACCAGGUGGCCUCCCAGGGCCAUCCCACUCUGAUGUGUAACUCUGGGAAAUAGAGCAAUGCUCUUGUCCAGAUUACCAAGUAACUUCUUUGCAGCAUGUUAAUAAGUCUCAAGAGAGGAGGACACAGUAGGGGAUGCAACCAAAAAAUUCAGAUUUCUGUAAAUAAAAGGAACUUUCAACCUUAAUGACAGCCAGUUUAACACCUACAAAAGUACCACCCUUUGGGCUAAAAUAUUUUCUUCUUCCUGCCACCUCUCCAGGCAGCGGCACCAUCCGCAGGCCCAUAUGUUUGGGUAAAUAAUCCACCAAGACAAAGUCAAGUCUUAGAUUCACUGGUCACCUGUAUCACACACUUGGAAGAGGUACUGUGUGGUACCUCAGUUUCCCUUUCAUCCCAGAAGUUCUAUAGGACUUGCUCAUUCCUUCUUGGGUGUCAAAGCUGCAAGUUAUCUUCCUGAAUGCUCUCUGAGGUCCUCCAAUAGGAUGGCAGGAUGAGUAGUAAGAAUUAUUACUAACUAGUGAAAAUAUGUAUAAUCACAUCAUUGGAGCGUAUAAUUGAUGCUUCAGUGCUGCAGGCAGAAAUGGAGGGAUGCACAGAUGGAAGCCAGGGAGAAGGAGGCUGCCCUAGGGCCCACUGCGGCAGAAGUAGGAGAAAUGUGGAGGCUUUAGCACUUGGUACCCUGCAAAACAGCAACUGACCAAAGGUCGUGUGCUGUGGAUGCCGAGCCGUGAGUGUCAAAAGCUGACAUAAACAGAGCUGUUUCCCCCCGGAGAACCUUUUCAUGCCCACAUUUUGAGCCCACUGGCGUCUUUUUUUUGUUGUUGUUUUUUACAGCAGUGUCCGGUCUCUUAGCUGACCCCUGCAGUAGCUGAGGAAGAGAUGAUGAAGCGUCUCACUUGUGCCUGGCUUCCCGAGCUGUCCCCUUGGAUUCCUGUAUCUGAGUCCUUGAUGCUCUGUCAACAGCCAAGCAGGGCUUCCACCCCGCUCUGCUCCCAAGGGCCUGGGUUAUUAUAAAUGAGUCAUGACGACUGCAUCUAUUUGUUUCAGGGCUUAUUUGUUGGAAGAGGAGGAAUGAGGCAGCAACUCAAGAGUCUCUUCUCGGUGUAUUGCACUCAAGUUUUCCUCCGCUCGUUCUGUUGAGGAUGAGAAAGGAGACACUCUGCUGGGUGCUGCAGGACUACAGAGCCUUGGCACCGGAAACUGAAGAGGUGACCGGCAGUGGAAAGCCUGCCUCAGAGCAGAACGUGGUCCCCGGGAUGGUCUGGAGCACAGAAAUAGCAAAUGCAGCACGCAGACACCUGGUUCCAUCACUCUGAGUCCCUCCCGUCAGCCUGCGUGUCCCCGUCAACAUUUGCAGUCCGCAAUAUUCGUCUGGUUUGGUUUACGGCAGCGUCUUCGCUGUUCCAAAGGCUGGUCUCAGCUGACUUCUACUGACUGCUUGGCGUCGUGGGUCUAAACAACUGCUCAGUGGACUUGGUGUUCCUACUUUCCGACAGCCUGCUUAGGCUGGUGCAAGAAUAGUCUGUGCGCUUCUUAGUAAGUCUUGGAACUGCUCCUGUGUAUAUCCAGCUCCCGGGUUAGGCCAUUUGCUCUUGGAGGAGAAGAAUGCAUUUUCUAUUUCCUCUUCUGCUAGGUGCCUGUGUCUCUGCAGUAGGUCUGGAAUUAGAGAUACUAAGAAAUCAAUUGAACAUUAAAAAAAUUUCCUGUAGUCACAGUGGACCCAAGCUGAUGCUUUCAAAUGGAGUGGGGGUAAACUUGGAGAGCGUGGGGUUAGGCGUGGAGCAGAGUAAUCUAUUAGUUGAUUCCAGUGACGCAUAUAGAGGAUGUAGUGUUGGGGUAGAGUGAUAAAGUAGAAAACAUAAUGACAUCC
ensembl:lncRNA